rnacentral:rRNA from 1 species
UACGGGGGGGAGCAAGCGUUGUUCGGAUUUACUGAGCGUAAAGGGCGCGUAGGCGGCGCAACAAGUCACUUGUGAAAUCUCCGGGCUUAACCCGGAGCGGUCAAGUGAUACUGUCGUGCUAGAGUGCGGAAGGGGCUACUGGAAUUCUCGGUGUAGCGGUGAAAUGCGUAGAUAUCUGGAGGAACACCGGUGGCGAAGGCGGCAUCCUGGACCGGCAUUGACGCUGAGGCGGCGAAAAGCUGAGGGGAGCAAACGGG